rnacentral:sRNA from 1 species
UUGAGCCAACAGCACCCUUCCGGGAGCCCGGGCUCCGCCGGUGGUGCGCAGGCCUUCUCCCUACGCUGUGAAGGAAGCCUAAGCCGGCGGGAGGGCACCCACCUGGUACGCCAGGCAUCAA